UACGUAGGGUGCAAGCGUUAAUCGGAAUUACUGGGCGUAAAGCGUGCGCAGGCGGUCCGUUAAGACAGAUGUGAAAUCCCCGGGCUUAACCUGGGAAUGGCAUUUGGGACUGCAAGGCUGGAGUGCGGCAGAGGAGACUGGAAUUCCUGGUGUAGCAGUGAAAUGCGUAGAUAUCAGGAGGAACACCGAUGGCGAAGGCAGGUCUCUGGGCUGACACUGACGCUCAUGCACGAAAGCGUGGGGAGCAAACAGG
rnacentral:rRNA from 1 species